GCGGGCACAUAGGACAAUGCUGGCUAAAGACAAGACAGUAAUUCCCCUAAAUUACUAAAGAAGGCAUCUACAGAAAUGCUGCCCUGUGCCCAGCUUAUUGGCAUCAUGGUAUUGCUCCCAGCCCCAGCCUGAACAGCGCACGUAAGCACACCAAAAGCAAAAGUGUCUGGUGGCCAGAAGAGGAAAGGAUUCUUUAUUAUUUGUAUAGCAGCAAGGAGGCCAGUUCAUGGGGUUUUCUUUUUACAGCAUCAUUUUGCACCGACAAUAGGAAUCCAGGCUGUAUUUCCCUGGGGAUGCUCUUCUGGAAGUGAGUGGUUCCAUGGCACGCCGAGGCUCGGGGCAGUGGGACCGUUCUCUCUAAAGCAGAUGAUGGCCACGGAGAGCUCAGACUUUCAGCCUUCGCUUUUUAAUUGCCCAGUUAGCAGAACGGGCAGCCUCCAGCCUCACCCCGUGUCACGUCCUGCCCUGGCCACCCAGCGCUGCUCUCACCUCGACACCACGUGUUUGCUGCCUUCGGGGGCUUUGACCUUCUUUGGUCAAAGAACGUCUUUGACCUUCUGGGGAAAAAGGUGAAGGAAGAGAGAGAAGACUUCAAUUUUUUGUCCUCAACGUCUGAAAAAAAAAAAAGCAUAUUUUUUUCCCAGAAAUUGUGUUUGUUCUUCUGAAUCCCAGUGGUGUUUGAAGAGACAUGGAGAGGAUCGGAUAGUUCAGGUGUGCAAGAAAGAGUUCAGGUGCCCAGCCCUGG
rnacentral:lncRNA from 1 species